UGUUAAAAUUUCAUCCAUUUUUACUAUUAAAAACUAGCGUGAUUGACGGAAUAACCAAAUAGUUACAUGUGGUGUACUAUGUGUACUUCAUGUUAAUGUAUAGGAACUAAUUUUUAAUACUAAUAAUGAAUGAAAUUUUUAAUA
rfam:Gossypium raimondii Chr03_contig_1027, whole genome shotgun sequence.